rnacentral:rRNA from 1 species
UACGGAGGAUGCGAGCGUUAUCCGGAUUUAUUGGGAUUAAAGGGUGCGUAGGCGGAUCGUUAAGUCAGUGGUCAAAUUGAGGGGCUCAACCCCUUCCCGCCAUUGAAACUGGCGAUCUUGAGUGGAAGAGAAGUAUGCGGAAUGCGUGGUGUAGCGGUGAAAUGCAUAGAUAUCACGCAGAACCCCGAUUGCGAAGGCAGCAUGCCGGCUUCCGACUGACGCUGAAGCACGAAAGCGUGGGGAUCGAACAGG